UUGAGAAUUCCAAGAAAUUCUUCAUUCUGUGAUGCUAGCCUUUAAAGAAUUCUUAUUUGGCUUGCAGUUUACUCUCAAACUGCUCUCUCGUGUCUUCUUCCAAGUCCCUGGUCUAUUUCCCCAGCUUCCUUCUUCGGAAGGCCUAGGACUGAGGACGGCCCCAUCCGCGUCAGCACUGCGCCUGCUCUAGACGCCCCGGAACCUUCAGCAGCUGCUGCAGGGUGGCUGGAAUCAGACUCGCCACCUGCAUGGUCGAGGGCAGGACCCCCAGGAGCGCCACUGGACCCAUCUCUUACACAGGUUGACCGAUUUCUCCUGGUGUUCAGAGUCUGUUUUUGUCUAGCACCAUUUGAAAUCGGUUAUGAUAUAGGGGGAAAAGCAGCAGCCUCGGAGCCUCAUGCCAACCCUGGUGAGCAAGCGCCUGUCUCCUGGAGGACGGAUGGGCAGAGAGUGGGGAAGGACCAUCUCGCGCUUUUUUCACUAACUUCUUUAACUGCAUUUAUGAUGCCUUAUUGCAGAGGUAAGAGAGAACUGAAUGUAUUUUGAAAAACAAAUGGCCAUAAUGCAUCUGAUGUCCCGGGUUGCAUGUUGCUGAAAUGUGGCAGGUGCUGCAUAUGCUGUCAGCGGUUGCUGUUGAAUCAUCUUUCCGUGAAGAGUCUGUUCGUGCCUCCUGACCUGAAUAAAUGCUUCACUCUACUCAAUUAA